GGCAUUACUUAUGAAGGUUCUUCAUUGACAUUGACUUUCCAAUUUCAUUGUACAUUGGUUUUAACAUGGAAAGAGGGUUAAAUGCUUUAAGGGUAAGUUUAAAUACUAGUUAUUUAUCAGUUUGAUACAUCCAUUCUAACAUUGUUCGUGCAUGAAAGACAUGGGCUAAGUACCCUGUUAAACUGCAUGGAUAGGCCUUUCACAGUGUGCUAUGGUGCAGAUACAACCAAGGUGGGCCCACAUGAUGAUUGAACCAGAAUUUCUUUAUUGCAAUUUUUUUUUUUGAAGAUCAACAGAAAUAUUAUUACUUCCAAAAGGGCUAAAGGGUGAAAGAACAAAACAAGCAAAGCUCAAAGAAAAUAAAAGACCUACAGGUGGGCCACCUACAACUCAAGUUUAGAAACGAAAAAAACAAAAACAAACAAAACAAAACAAAAAACCCACAUCUCUCACUAAAAAAUAAAAAUAAAAAAGAUCCGCAUCAUAGGCUCUUUCUACUCUGAAGGGCUUCACCUACAUGAUUAUGAGUCUUUAAUUAACAAGAUUUAUUACUCAUGCAUAUAUUCUUAGAAAUAUAUAUUUAUGAUAUAGCAUUGUCUCCCAUUGAAAAUUUCAAUGGGCCACCCUAUAGAAAAUUUAAGGCAAUGGAUCUAUAUAUAUUUACAUAUUGAAUGUAGACACACUUGCACUUUCCCUGCUUUAAUUUUUUUUUUUUUUUAAAAAAAAAUUUCCCACCUUUUAGAGGCCCAAGAGCAUCCAACUAAGGUAAUUUUAAUAGCACUAGUUAGAGUGCUUUUUGAAGGUGCACUUGCCUAACAUGUAUUAGAUGGGACCUCACUAUCUGGAUUCCAUGCAUCUAAAUUCAGGCAAAUAUGAUUAAUGGGUGUUGAGGAACAAUUUCUCAUUUGUCUUAGCCAUUGAUAUAUCUUGUCUUGUUGUCACUACCUGAGCAUCAUAUUUCCAAAUGCCAGAUGCACUGAUUCAGCAUUCAGCAUGCAAGUCAAACCAAAUCAAUGCAAAUCAUGUGCUCUCACGUAAAUGCAUCUUCAACUAAAAUCUGCACUGAUUCAGCUUUCCAACUAGAAGAUUAGGGUACAUUUAAUGGAAAGUUGAAAUGAGAAUUAAUCAAAGUUUCUCAUCGAUUAACUGAUCUGAUUUUUCUGUAUGACCUAUAUCCUGGCUGUGUCAACUCUUUGGGUGGUUAUAUUUGUCUCAAUGUAUGUCCCAUUCAUAAUAUCUAUUAAUGCAUGAGUGUCAACCAUCACACUCUAGCAGAGUAUCAAACUUGCCAUCCCACGAGCAGAUCUGAUCUCACACACAUGUGCCUCAUUUCUAUGUAUGAGGUGAGGGCACUCCACUAAUUGAAACCUUUCUUAUAAGUGCACUUGAAACCCCAAUCAAAGCACACUCUUUUUUCUUUUUCUUUCUAUUUUUUUAUUUAUUUGUUUAUAAAUCAGGAUAGCUCUUGUAAGUCACAAUAGGCAGGUCCAAUAUUCAGAAAGAACUUUGGUGUGUACCUAUUUUCAUAGAGUUUUCUGAUUUAGUUUUUUUUUUGUUUCAUAUUCAGAAUUGUAUUUGUUUUGUAUUGUGAAUCACAUCAUAUGGCUUUCUUGCAGCUCUGCCAAUGAAACACUAAGCACUUUGAAUUUUGAUAAUUUAUGAAAUUUAUGGUGAAAUUUUCACGAAGUUUGAAGGAUUUUUGAAACUUUGCUCUGAUACCUAUGUUUGCAGUUUCUCCAAAAUUAUGGCAUUAAUAUCUGCACAAGGGAGCAUAAAUUUGAACUAACCUGAUUAAGGCAAAUCAAAGCUGAAAUUUGAGAUUAGGUCUUACCAAGAAAUUGUUGUGAGAUCAAAAGUCCAACAUGAAGAAAUCAAGGAAGAGUACUGGAACUGAGCUUACACUAGGUGUCCUGCAUUAGCUGAUAGAUGGUGUGUUUAUGCUUCACAGGAAUCCAUAUGGUCAUGAGGAACUUGCUGUUUGUGAGGACAUUGGUCAGAUGAGGUUUUAUGACUUGGUGACCAAGGAGGAUGAGAUGCUUAAGCAAGUUUCUUUCCCUUCUUCACGCUACCGUCUAGGAAACUAUAGGAGUUUUGCCACAUUGGAGAGCUACAAUGGAAUCAUAUUAUGAGAAGAUCCUGACUCUGGGGAAAAGGUUAAUCUCUUUGAUUGCUUUGGCUUUGAACUUGGAUGAAAGCUUCUUUGAGCAAGUGGGUGCACCCAUGGGAUUUGUCCGUCUUCUACACUAUCCAGAUCUGUAGGGAAAAGGAUAAGGUACCUCAUGCCAACGGGCACAACAGCACUUUGAUGAGUUUGAUACUAAUUACGAAGAAGAAGUGGAGGUUGUUGAUGAGUUUGACAGCGACUUUGAUGAAGAUGAACCUGAGCCAGAUGAUGAGGAG